rnacentral:rRNA from 1 species
GACGAACGCUGGCGGCGUGCUUAACACAUGCAAGUCGAGCGGAAAGGCCACUUCGGUGGUACUCGAGCGGCGAACGGGUGAGUAACACGCGAGUAAUCUGCCCUUGGCUUCGGGAUAGCCACCGGAAACGGUGAUUAAUACCGGAUAUGACCACUCCAGGCAUCUGGUGGUGGUGGAAAGUUUUUCGGCCAGGGAUGUGCUCGCGGCCUAUCAGCUUGAUGGUGAGGUAAUGGCUCACCAUGGCUUCGACGGGUAGCCGGCCUGAGAGGGUGACCGGUCACACUGGGACUGAGACACGGCCCAGACUCCUACGGGAGGCAGCAGUGGGGAAUAUUGGACAAUGGGCGGAAGCCUGAUCCAGCAACGCCGCGUGAGGGAUGACGGCCUUCGGGUUGUAAACCUCUUUCGCCUAUGACGAAGCGCAAGUGUCGGUAAUAGGUAAAGAAGCACCGGCCAACUACGUGCCAGCCGCCGCUGUAACAC